AUUCCAGCUCCAAUAGCGUAUAUUUAAGUUGUUGCAGUUAAAAAGCUCGUAGUUGGAUUUCGGUUAAGAGCGACCGGUCCGCCGUUUGGUGUGCACUGGUUGGUUUUAACUUCCUGUAGAGGACGUGCUCUGGGCUUAACGGUCUGGACUCGGAGUCUACGUGGUUACUUUGAAAAAAUUAGAGUGUUCAAAGCGGGCUUACGCUUGAAUAUUUCAGCAUGGAAUAACACUAUAGGACUCCUGUCCUAUUUCGUUGGUCUCGGGACGGGAGUAAUGAUUAAGAGGAACAGUUGGGGGCAUUCGUAUUUCAUUGUCAGAGGUGAAAUUCUUGGAUUUAUGAAAGACGAACUUCUGCGAAAGCAUUUGCCAAGGAUGUUUUCAUUG
rnacentral:rRNA from 1 species